GACGAACGCUGGCGGCGUGCUUAACACAUGCAAGUCGAACGAUGAAGCUGGAGCUUGCUCUAGCGGAUUAGUGGCGAACGGGUGAGUAACACGUGAGCAAUCUGCCCUUGACUCUGGGAUAACUGCGGGAAACUGUAGCUAAUACCGGAUACUUUCACCGGGGGGCAUCCUCUGGUGAUGAAAGAAUUUCGGUCAAGGAUGAGCUCGCGGCCUAUCAGCUUGGUGGUGAGGUAACGGCUCACCAAGGCGACGACGGGUAACCGGCCUGAGAGGGUGACCGGUCACACUGGGACUGAGACACGGCCCAGACUCCUACGGGAGGCAGCAGUGGGGAAUAUUGCACAAUGGGCGCAAGCCUGAUGCAGCAACGCCGCGUGAGGGAUGAAGGCCUUCGGGUUGUAAACCUCUUUUAGCAGGGAAGAAGCGAAAGUGACGGUACCUGCAGAAAAAGCACCGGCUAACUACGUGCCAGCAGCCGCGGUAA
rnacentral:rRNA from 1 species